UACACGCAGUUUCCUCUUCCGACAUAUAUAUUUGAUACAUGGCGCGAAUGUGCUCUUGGUUGAGUUACUUUAAGUUCCAAGCCUUGUUUCUUGAUGGAGUUAUUGAUCGGCGACUUUCUGUUCAUGGUGACUUUAUGCUCUCCUCUUUUGUCAACUGCACCUAGAAGUUAUCCUGGAAUCUACAGUCUCCAGAGGCAGCUAUGCAGUGAAGUUGGUUUACUUGUUACAUCGCCACCUUGUUACAACUCUUGUUUGGAGCCCAUGUGAACGUCCUGCCCCCAAAAUAGUAUUGCUGCAAUGGUUUACGCAUCAACUUCAAUUUUGUUACUUCUAUUUUCCAAGUCUAAUAAUAUGUGCAGUGAUUCUUUCAGUUCCUACAAAGUUUGUCUUUCACCAAUACUAUAUGGACCAACUUCCUACCUUGAGACAGCAGCUUGGGCUCUUGACAUCAGAAUGACUCUUGUGCCUUCUCA